AUAUGGCGGCAAGUGCAGGAAAAAGGCCGGGUCCAGGGAUUUUCUGGACUAAUGACGAAUUGAGUGGAAAGGUGACGUUCCCUACCUCUUUCAAGCCGGGGCCAGAAAGUACCAGCAAUGCCGGUGCAAGGGGUGCAAGGAUGAGGGCCAAGCAUAGCUGUGAAAGCACAACCAAGGUCCCGUUAAGCAAAGGUGACACGGAACAGGUCCAGUUGCAAAGUGGUCCUUCUGUGAUGAACACCAAAGUAAAAAGUAUGCUUCACCCAGACUUCGCUCGGACUAUGGAAUGCACUCCUUCCUCAGCCACCAAUGGCUUUCUCCCAAUGUCACAGGCAGUCUCUGUGACCAGUAAAGCCCAAAGUCAGGCUUGUCUGAAGGACCUCUGUCCAGAGGACAAACGGCGUAUAGCUAAUCUCAUUGAAGAACUUGCCAGGGUGAGUGAAGAGAAAGAAGAGUCGGUCCAGCGGUUGAAGGACGAACAGGAAACAUUUGAACGUAAGAUCCAACAGCUGGAGCAGCAGAAUCUACUCAUAGUGCAGGAGAGAGGGAGUCUGCAGCAGCAGUACAGGGAGUGUCAGGAGCUGCUUGGGCUUUACCAGCAGUACCUCUCUCAGCAGCAGGAGAAGCUCAAUCAGUCCAUUGCCCAGCUCAGCCAGCCGCCAUCACAUAGCAAGGUGUCCAGAAAUGAGGGAGUGAACAGCAGAAUGUCAACUAGCAAAGCUAAUGUUUAUGCCCUGGAUGGCUCAUACCUUGGCCUAGCUACUAUUCAAACAUGUACAUCACAAGGGCACCAAAAGGCAGGGGGAAGAAAAGGAACAACGACAGCCUUCAAUGACAACACCUCUCUUACUACGACAACCCCUUCCUGCUCCUUUUCCAGUGAGAGCGAGUGCACUCCGAUGCGGGGGCCAAUGCCCAAACAGCACAGAGGUAAGAAAGCGGGAAGGGAAGAUCCUCACUCACAGUCCCACGCCAGAUGUGAGCAUGAUCCAAACAACAGCUACAGAACACAACCACGGAGAACUGAUAAUGAUCCUUGUCUAGAGAAUGGCCACCGCGGCAGAACUGACCAGCACGAGUUUGAAAGGCUUCCUAGUGGAGAUGUCAUACACCCAGAGGCUAAGGAAGCCCUGACCACACCCCUAUUGGGGAAUGAGAACUGGGAGGAGAAGAGGCACCAGCUGCUGCUUCAGAAGAUGCAGUUAGAGGUGGAGAGAGAGAGGCUACAGGUACGCCUGGCUGAACAAGAGGAGCGACUCCUCAGACAAAAUCUGCAGCUGCGCCAAUCACGACUGGACUACAACCGGUUUCAACAAACCGCUCAAGCCGAGCUCAGCAGCUCCGUUAUUAGAGAUGGGCCCCCACAGCAAGAAGGCCAAUCUGAUCGUCAGCCACUUCCCAGGUCAAGUGAGUGUGAAGAUGCAGCGCUAUUUCCAAUAGAACAGCGCUUAUGUGAAGAGCUCUCACAAACUUCAUCCAACCAUCCGCACACUGGUAUUCAUACUCAAGAGGCCCCACAGCGGUCCAAAAGAGACAUGGCCACAUCUCCUCUAAUGUCCCUUCCUAGCCUUGGAAAGCCCAUCUCAGUGCCUGUGAUACCUAGGACCCCUGAAGCAAGUAAUGAGCGGGAAAGUGUGAGGAAGAGAAAGACAGGGUAUGAGUGCGUUUGAGGGCGAGAGGGCUGAGAACACUGGGCGAAGUGAGAGAUGGAAAACGAAAAGUGAGAGUGGCUUGAGAUGGAUAGAGCUGCAAGCAGCAGGGAAGACGGAAGGGAGGACAAGAAUGAAUCAUUGAGUGCUCGUGUCAGACUCCAAGAAAAGGAAAGAAAAUUCAUUGCAGCUUUUCUGCCCCCUUUUAUGUGGAGAGGUUGGACUCGUCCCUGGUUGAGCUGCUGGAAGCUUUCAGUCCUGCCUCCGGUUCUGUGCAACGCAAGCAUUCCCUACAAAGACGUAAGAUGCCACUAAAUGCCUAUAGACAGGGCCACAGAGCACUGGCCCCCC